CGAAGCGAUUGAGGAGGAAGUUUCGGACGGAAUUCGCGUUUGACUUAGUGGCGGACGGGUGAGUAACGCGUGGGUAACCUGCCGUAUGCAGGGGGACGAACAGCUGGAAACGGCUGCUAAUACCGCAUAAGCGCACAGCAUCGCAUGGUGCAGUGUGAAAAAGAUUUAUCGGCAUACGAUGGACCCGCGUUGGAUUAGGCAGUUGGCGGGGUAACGGCCCCCCAAACCGACGAUCCAUAGCCGGCCUGAGAGGGUGAACGGCCACAUUGGGACUGAGACACGGCCCAAACUCCUACGGGAGGCAGCAGUGGGGAAUAUUGCACAAUGGGGGAAACCCUGAUGCAGCGAACCGCCGCGUGAGUGAAGAAGUAUUUCGGUAUGUAAAGCUCUAUCAGCAGGGAAGAAGAUGACGGUACCUGCACAAGAAGCCCCGGCUAACUACGUGCCAGCAGCCGC
rnacentral:rRNA from 1 species